UACGUAGGGACCAAGCGUUGUUCGGAAUUACUGGGCGUAAAGGGCGCGUAGGCGGCCCGCUAAGUCGAACGUGAAAUCCCCGAGCUCAACUCGGGAACUGCGUCCGAUACUGGUGGGCUUGAAUCCGGGAGAGGGAUGCGGAAUUCCAGGUGUAGCGGUGAAAUGCGUAGAUAUCUGGAGGAACACCGGUGGCGAAGGCGGCAUCCUGGACCGGCAUUGACGCUGAGGCGCGAAAGCUAGGGGAGCAAACGGG
rnacentral:rRNA from 1 species